rnacentral:rRNA from 1 species
UUAGUGGCGGACGGGUGGGUAACGCGUGGAAAACCUGCCGUAUACUGGGGGAUAACACUUAGAAAUAGGUGCUAAUACCGCAUAAGCGCACAGCUUCGCAUGAAGCGGUGUGAAAAACUCUGGUGGUAUACGAUGGUUCCGCGUCUGAUUAGCUAGUUGGUGGGGUAAUGGCCUACCAAGGCAACGAUCAGUAGCCGGCCUGAGAGGGUGAACGGCCACAUUGGGACUGAGACACGGCCCAAACUCCUACGGGAGGCAGCAG